rnacentral:rRNA from 1 species
GACGAACGCUGGCGGCGUGCUUAACACAUGCAAGUCGAGCGGUAAGGCCCUUUCGGGGGUACACGAGCGGCGAACGGGUGAGUAACACGUGGGUGACCUGCCCUCAGCUCUGGGAUAAGCCCGGGAAACCGGGUCUAAUACUGGAUAUGACUCCAUGACGCAUGUUGUGGGGUGGAAAGCCUUGUGCGGCUGAGGAUGGGCCCGCGGCCUAUCGGCUUGUUGGUGGGGUGAUGGCCUACCAAGGCGACGACGGGUAGCCGGCCUGAGAGGGCGACCGGCCACACUGGGACUGAGACACGGCCCAGACUCCUACGGGAGGCAGCAGUGGGGAAUCUUGCGCAAUGGGCGAAAGCCUGACGCAGCGACGCCGCGUGAGGGAUGACGGCCU